rnacentral:other from 1 species
GAACCUCUGCAGUGUUCGUGAAUAGACGUGUACUUUUGGCGAACCGAUACGCAAUCCGCAUGGGGCCUGUUUAUUUGCGUGUCUGGGGCUUGCAAGCCCACCGUUUGUAGUGGGAUCCAAAAUCCAGACACCGGGCUCCGUCCUUGAACUGCGGGUUCUCAAAAGCGUCUACACGGCACAGGCGGAGGUUUU